rnacentral:lncRNA from 1 species
AUAUCAAUUCUAGAAAUAAAGAAUUUGAGAGAGGUGGGUGGCUCACAAUUUUUUUUUUUUAUAUAAGCAAGAAAAAUUACAUUAAUGGAAUCUAACAAAAAAUGCAACAAAGUAAACAACUAGGUGAGUUUUCCUGUUAUUGGUUUUGGAUGAGAUGCAUUUUAGAUAGAAAUAGUUAAGUUGGAUUAGAUUUCCCUUCCUUUUCAAAAUCACCCACAAUAGUAACAAGAAAGCCUAAGACCUUUUGAGUAGGGUAGAAAGUAUAGGUCAUUGGAGCCAAAAAUUCUGAAACAGGAAGAUUCAAGAUAAUUCCUAAUGAAAUUUAGGAUAUGUGUUGUCUAUUCAAAGAAAAAGAAUAGGUAGUGCUUAUAUAGCUCAUUGAAGAAAAUGGGAGAAGGAAGAAUGAUAGAGAAUUUCAGUUGUAAUUUAUCUAUAAAAAAACUAAUCACAAAAAGUUACAAAAGUUGCACCUAGUAGGUUUGAAGAUUGACUUGAACUUGGAUGCUCAUUAAGGUCACUAGAGAAGUUCAUCAUAUGGCAAUAAGCCAAAAUUUCAAUGAGCAUAUCUAAAUUAAAUAUGAUUUCCCAAUUAAAUUUUAACCCUUUGCUAUGGUUUAUUAGAAUUCAUUUCAUUAUAGUACUUUGGAAACAUGCAAGUUGGUGGAUAUGAUCUAUAAAAUGAAAUCCACAAAGCCUCUUUGCAUCAGUGUUCGCAAGAAUGAUCUAAAGAUUGUGAUGGACUUGCUAGCUUUGCUCUGACAUUUCUGUUUCCUUCUAGGAAUCAAGCAGGAUUGAAAAUCAAAAUUUUUAAAUAACUAUAUCAACCAUUGUUUGCUAUUAGAAACAUCAACACUACCAAUGAGGUAACACAUCACAAGAUGCCAUCUAUAUAUACUAAUAAGGUCACUCACAUAUAUUAUACUUCAGAUAUAAUCUUCAUAAACACUGGAGAAGUGGGAGUGCAUCACCUGAAUUCGAGAUCAAGCCUUCUACAGCAAUCUUAGAACUUCAUAAGCUCCAUUGAAGGAGUAGAAAACCUAUUACACCUUGAGACAUGUAGGAGGCAUAGGCAAUAAAUGUUUAAUCAGAGCAUGGUCCAUGCAUUGGAAUCAUGAGGCUAUAGGUCAAAUACCAGAAUUUUUAUCUGCAUCUUGGGCUUGAUAAAUGGGAUUCAUUGAAGUGUUUUCCUAAAGGUCAAAUACCAGCAUGGUCCCACUAAUUUGUCUUAUUUUUUCUUCAUUCAGUCCAAACCAUUUAUUAUAGGAUACAAGUGAUUCAAGCCCCUUAUUCUUAUGCUUCUUCACCACCAUAGAAAAAAAUACCAACUUUUUUUUAAUUUUUUUGAUAAAGAGAAUAGAAGCAAUUUCAACAACACCACACAUAUUCUAAUAAACAUUCAUAUCAAUUAUAGGCCUUUUGGCAAAAUCCAAAACUGAUUAUUGCAAUGUUUAACAAGAAAAAUGUAAAGACAAAAUGAUUGUAGAUUUCCAAAUUGUGAUAGUUUCUCAAAAAACGGAAACUUAAAUAGGGCUCCAACCUAUCUCUUAAUCCCAAAUCUCAUAUAUCUAAAGAAAUCCAUCCAUAAGAGACUAGAUAAAGAACAAGCAAAAGAAAAUUAGAAAGAAUUCCAUUAUGUUUCAUGUUUUUUGCAUUUUUGAGGUGUUGGGAAUCAACAUUGUAAUGGGAAUUUUACCUUGUGAUUUUUGUCACAUUUUGGAAUACCUAGCUUAUGUUUUCCUCUUUAAGAAAGCAUUGCAAUUGUGUUUUUUUUUUUUUUUUCUUGACACCUAAUUCAAAGAACAGUUGUUUCAGUUUUUAUAUAAAUAACUAAUUCCUAAUUUCUAGAUAGUUUCAUUAGUAUGGUCGAAUGGCAUUCUUUUAGCACAGGGCAAAGGUUAAUGCUGGAAAAUCUUCUGCUUAGAACAGAUUAACACAAGAAAGAGGAUCAUAUUUUGAAUGACAUUAAUAAGUGAAACUAUUCAGAUAGUUAAUUGAUGAUUAAAUAUUUCUAGCAAGCAUGAAGUAGAAAUACCAGAAAGGGAAGCCUUCAACUAGAUGAAUAACUCUCAACGAGGCUCUGUUCCAAAUACUAUGCACAAAAUUGCAACCAAAAUUAGCUUUAAAGAAAUAAAGAGAGAAAAACAGCAGUUCAAUGGGAAAAACAACAUGUGAAUUUACCAAUAGAAAAGGCUCCAUCAUAUACCAUACAAGACUUACCAAACAUCCCUUUUACUUAUUGACAUAGAAGAUAAAUCAGCAACAGAACUGCCACACCCCCAACUAAGUUGGAAACUUGGGAAUUCAAGUCAAGAAUCAUGAUACAAGUAGGAAUUGCCAAUAUAGUGAUGACAGAAAUUUGAUACAUUUUCAAAUCCUACAAGGAUCUUAUACAUGCAGAAGAUUAUUCAUCCAUAAAAAUAUGAAAAUUUGCAGAUUUGUUUCCACAAAAAUGAAAAAACUCAUUCCAAAGAGCCAACCCUUCAAGUCACAAAUUCACAAUCCACGGAGUCCCAAUUUCUGAAAGCUUUCCAAUUAAAAAUUUUCACUUUUGCUAAAACUUUUUACCUUUCACAAUAAGAUUUCUAAUUUCCAUGCCUAUGCUAUACCUCGAGUGACCAUCAUCUCCAUAAAGCUUUCUUUUCUUCCAAUCCAUGGACUCCUCUAUCUGGAUGGUCCUUUGAUUCGAACUACAUUGACCCCCAAAAUAAAUCUUCCUAACCAGAUGUAGAUCAGAUUCGAGUUGGUCUUAGAACAGAAACCUUCUGUGAAACAAUGACGUGUAGUUGGGGGGGUUUCAUUUUCAAGAUCCUGGUUCGAUCUCCUCGGUGAAGCAGCCAGAAAAUGUGUGAUAUAUCACCCCAAAAUUGUCUCCCGCCUCACUUUUGAUUUCAUUGCCACUCAAAUCUAUGAGAUUCCAUUACCGACAAGUUAAGAAUCCUUGUAGAUUGUAGUCUGAAUAUAGUACUCUUCCAAAGGUUAAGGUUUUUCAAUAGAGAGAGAGAGAAGGCUUAGGGUUUUGAUACUCACAACUAGUCUUCCAAGGCUUGUUGGGUGCUAAAUUUGUCUUUUGGCGGGUGUAGCGAAUCAUAUGGAGGUAAUAGGAAAUAUAUUACAUACUUCGUAAGAAAGAACAUGGCGCUUUCUAAGGCAAGGACACCUAUUGCAAUCUGUAUACAAUGAUGCUUUAAAUAAGUGCCAACGUCUUUAAGCUUUUAUAGUUCAAUGACGCUUAUAAAGGC